rnacentral:rRNA from 1 species
UACGUAGGGUCCGAGCGUUGUCCGGAAUUACUGGGCGUAAAGAGCUCGUAGGUGGUUUGUCGCGUUGUCCGUGAAAACUCACAGCUCAACUGUGGGCGUGCGGGCGAUACGGGCAGACUGGAGUACUGCAGGGGAGACUGGAAUUCCUGGUGUAGCGGUGGAAUGCGCAGAUAUCAGGAGGAACACCGAUGGCGAAGGCAGUGUUCUGGGCCAGUACUGACGCUGAGGAGCGAAAGCGUGGGGAGCAAACAGG